UUUAAGCCUCUAGUAUACGACUUGAACAUUUCCGCAACAUGACACACUUUAAUACUUCAUUUACUCUAUUACUGUUCUACCUCGAUGUGUCUGG